rnacentral:rRNA from 1 species
GAUGAACGCUGGCGGCGUGCUUAACACAUGCAAGUCGAACGGAAAGGCCCAAGCUUGCUUGGGUACUCGAGUGGCGAACGGGUGAGUAACACGUGGGUGAUCUGCCCUGCACUUCGGGAUAAGCCUGGGAAACUGGGUCUAAUACCGGAUAGGACGAUGGUUUGGAUGCCAUUGUGGAAAGUUUUUUCGGUGUGGGAUGAGCUCGCGGCCUAUCAGCUUGUUGGUGGGGUAAUGGCCUACCAAGGCGUCGGCGGGUAGCCGGCCUGGGAGGGUGUACGGCCACAUUGGGACUGGGACACGGCCCAGACUCCGACGGGAGGCAGAAGUGGGGAAGAUUGCACAAUGGGCGCAAGCCUGAUGCAGCGACGCCGCGGGGGGGAGGACGGCCUUCGGGUUGGAAACUCCUUUCGCUAGGGACGAAGCGUUUUGUGACGGUACCUGGAGAAGAAGCACCGGCUAACUACGUG